rnacentral:rRNA from 1 species
UACGUAGGCAGCAAGCGUUGUUUGGAUUUACUGGGCGUAAAGGGCGCGUAGGCGGCCAGCACAAGUCAGUUGUGAAAUCUCCGAGCUUAACUCGGAAAGGUCAACUGAUACUGUACGGCUAGAGUGCGGAAGGGGCAACUGGAAUUCUUGGUGUAGCGGUGAAAUGCGUAGAUAUCAAGAGGAACACCUGCGGCGAAGGCGGGUUGCUGGGCCGACACUGACGCUGAGGCGCGAAAGCCAGGGGAGCGAACGGG